GACGGGGGAUGCGAGCGUUAUCCGGAAUGAUUGGGCGUAAAGGGUCCGCAGGUGGCCCGGUCAGUCCGCUGUCAAAGCCUGGGGCUCAACCCUGGAGAGGCGGCGGAGACCACCGGGCUUGAGUCCGGUAGGGGCAGAGGGAAUUCCCGGUGGAGCGGUGAAAUGCGUAGAGAUCGGAAAGAACACCAACGGCGAAAGCACUCUGCUGGGCCGACACUGACACUGGAGAGACGAAAGCUAGGGGAGCGAAUGGG
rnacentral:rRNA from 1 species